rnacentral:lncRNA from 1 species
AGCAGAGAGAGACCCAGCUCCAGGAACACGAAGGCAAGGACAGUAGCCUUCAGUCUCGACCCCAGAGCUUGGCACCCCAGAACCUGGGCUCCCCAAAGCAAGACCAGGGCCCCCACAUUGUGCGCCAAAGUGCGGGGUGGAGAAUGCCCACAGCCCAAGGGCCCCCAGGCUGAAGGCAGGAGACUGGGGCUGCUGGAGAAGUUGCCCAGGCUGAGGGGCCGUGCCUGGCAGGGACAUGGGGCUGCUGCUGCUGCUGCUCCCAGGCUGGGGGCCCAGCUGAAAGAGGCCAUCAAUCACAGCCGGCCCGCCAGGCCCACACCGCACCCGCCAGCCGGACAGUGGCCCGCCCUGCUCCUCAGAUGGCCAGGCCCUGCCCUCUCUUCCCUGUUCCUCCUUUGCUGACCCAAAGUCUCCCUAAAGUCAAGUCCUGUCCCUUGCCCCUCGCCAAGGCUGGGAGGGAAUCAAAGCCAUGGGGGAGGUGGUGGACAAAGGGUGGGCCUCAGGGGGCCGCCGUGUUCAGGCUGUGCUGGCUGUCCCUACAGGCUGUGCUGCAGGCUCCGAGCUGGCCUUCGUGCAGGAGCUGGGGGACACAGUGGCUGUGUGGGAGCACCCACUGGUGCUGCCCUGCCAGGUGGAGGGUGAGCCGCCUGUGUCCAUUUCCUGGCAGCGGGAUAGGCUGGCCUUAGCCAAUGAGAGUGGUGUCACCCUGAUGCCAGAUGGCUCCCUGCACCUGGCCGCCCUGCCUUCCCGCCGGAGCCUCCCUUCCCGUGCCCACGAGUACCACUGCGUGGCCCAGAACCGCUACGGGCGGCUGGUGAGCCGACAGGCCCGGGUACAGCUGGCAAGUAAGUGACAGGGCUGCUCCUGGGAUUGGGGGAUGAGAGUUGGUGGGGCACCCACAGAAGGCACCCAUGGGGCCCAGACUCGCUGAGAGUGGGCCUGAGCAGGGCCAGCCCAGCCAUUAGACACAGUGUACACACUGGUAGAGCCUCUGAUUCUUUUAGGGGCCCACAAAAAUGUUUUAACUUCUUCAAAACCAGAAGAAAAAAAUGAAUACAAUAAUAAAUAUGUAAAAAUGA